UACAUGGGGUGCAAACGGUUGCUCGGAAUUAUUGGGCGUAAAGCGCGCGUAGGCGGUUACUUAAGUCGGAUGUGAAAGCCCUCGGCUUAACUGAGGAAGUGCACCCGAAACUGAGUAGCUAGAGUACGAAAGAGGGUCGCGGAAUUCCCGGUGUAGAGGUGAAAUUCGUAGAUAUCGGGAGGAACACCGGUGGCGAAGGCGGCGACCUGGGUCGAGACUAGACGGCGA
rnacentral:rRNA from 1 species